rnacentral:lncRNA from 11 species
GUGAAAUGUCAGGGGAGAAUGCUUCUGGAGCAUAGCCAGACAGGCUGUAAAACUCACAACAACCUUUCUUAACAAUCACUAAAAGCCUUCCAAUUCAAGAAGAACACAGAAUUUCAACCCAUAUCAGACAGGAAUCAACUAGGGGCAUUUAGCAUGUCAAAAAUUGCUAUAAAGUAAUUUAAAAUUGGUUGUAUAACAUAAUUAUACAAUUCUCCUCCCACACUGCAAUAGAUUAAGAGGAAAUUAAAAGUUGAAAAUUAAUAUAAAAACUGCAAGGGAAAAUAGGAUAAAACAAAAUAAUAUGAAAUCAAACUUUUGGGGGAAAGCCACAAAAGCCACAUGCGUCUUUCCCAGACUGGGUUAAACAAAGCUGCUUCUAGUAAGUCAAUCCAGGAAAUGCAGUAUAUUGACACAGUGGAGGUGUCCAGGCAAAGGUGAUCAACAUGGGAAAUGGUUAUAAACCAAACUAUAGAUCCCAGUGUUUCAUAGGAUGGAACCAAGGCAGGGAAAGCUUCACGCCUCUUUCCCAGCGAAGAAGACAGAAAUGUCAGCAAAGAGCCUACCAACACAGAUGAUAAACGCAUGGACACUGCUGGGAUUCCUGUUGGAUGCAGCCCAAGAAAACUGAGGAAGAGAUCCAGUUCCUUUGGCGUUUCAUGGCUCAGAGACCUGAACAGCGAAGAACCCAACUGUCAGAUUGUUCCAGUAACAACUGAGACUCCUGUGAUCACCAAACCACCAACCACACCUAAACCCCCCAGGAAGGAAACCCACCGCAUAGCAGCAGCAGCACCAGAAUACAAGCGUUGGCUCUUGUAUUUUCUUCCUUACAGACAAUACUCUUACUACAAUGCUUUAUUGCCUAUUAACAGAGGUGCCAAUGGCUAUCACUUUUUCAGGCACAACAAAUUCCAAAGCGACGAGUCCUCUGAAGAAAAGAGAAAGAAAAGAGAUAUAUUUACAAUGCAGUAAGACCAUUUAACUGCGGAAAACAUUCACGAGUUCACUUAACCUGAGAUUCUGCUAGGUCCUCCUGUGAUGUUAUGCUUUUCUCAGAAGUUACUACAGAGUUGCACUGUAGGACCUAGCACGUUUCUAGAGAUGAGAUCCCUCUAGUAAUUUCUUGAUUCUCUAAAAACGAUGAUAUACUAGAAUUGGAAGUGAGGUGAUUAAAUGGUUUUCAGUUAUAUCUUGGUUUCACACAACUGUGAACCAACAAAAAUAUAUCCCUCAGAUAUAUUCUUAAAAAAGUGCAAUGUCUUAGUGGCUCUUUUAGUAGUGACUUUUUAACCACUACCUACAAGAAAAAGGUACAGUGAGUCUGCACUAUCUAUAGAGGUUAAGUUCUGAGACCAGAUGCAGUACAAAAAAAUGCAGACAUUCAUGCUCCAUCUUAUUAAAUGAUGGUGACAUUAAUGCACACACUUCAACAUGCCCUCAUUCAUGUCACUACCAUUUACUAAUAUGGGGUGCAAUGAUCUGUGGUUACUGUAGAUCACGGCUCAAGAUCCUUCAGAUCUGGAAGCCCACAAAACUGGAUCUAAUAGUAGAUCUUUGGGUGAUUUGCAAUGGAUUGGCAGGAGUUUUCAGUUACCAAUUAUUCCAGAACAGCAGCAAAAAAGGCUUUGCUUCUAUCAUGCUGCUGAAAUGGGAAAGGGUUGGGGUAACUAUGGAUGGCAUUUUAUGUGGAAUGAUUGUGCACUCCAUUUAGUUUUGGGAACAGCGUUCUUUAACAAUACUAAGUAUAAUAUAUUUUGCAACUGGCAGGGAAGGUCAGCAUGGUGUAGCAUUCUGAGUUUGGGACUAGGACACUGGGAGAUCCAGAUUCGAAUCUAUUCUCAACUAUGAAAACACAGUUGGUGACCCUAUCAAAUGAAGGCAAAGGCAACCCCCUUGUUUAAAAUAACUCCUGUGAAAGUUUCCUCUCGAGAUUGCUGAAAGUGAAAAAUGACCUGAAGGUACAGAAGAAUAACAGCAACUGGUUGGCAGCCUUGAUGGUUCUAAUCAUUAAAAAACAAGCAAAUGUCACAAGCCUGAAGUCUUCCUGAAUGGAUCUCCAAGUGAACUCCAAUUUAUAGCAACACUAUCAUGGGCCAAAAAAUUCUUCAGUGGAAAUUUAUCUUCACCUUUCUGAAGCUGAAAGAGUGAGUUACUCAAGGUCACCCAAUGGAUUUCCUUUUCUGAGCAGGAAUUUGAACCUGUCUUAUAGAGUCCUAGCCCAACACACAAAACACUACUGCUUGCUGGCUCUCAACUAAUAAAUUCUUAAGACAACUGCCUCUAGUAAAUUCUAAGCCUGGAAAAUUAGCAUAAAAUUAAAAACCUGCAGGUUCACUCACUCACUUCAUAAAUCUGAAAUUAAGAUCUAUUUAUGGAUAGGUUAAAUAAACAAGAACCAUUUCUCAUACAACUGAAAAAACAAUUUCCUGACUUGUAGUACUCUGAAGAAUGUUAAAAGAUAUCAAGCUGGCUUGCAACUAAUAAAAAAUAAUUUAAAAUAAGGCUUAAGAUAUGAAUGGCUAAGGGUGGCUCUACAUAGCCACAUAAUUAAGAUCCGACCGAUAUGAAAAAGCAUGGCUGUGAAUGGUGCAGAAUUCCAAACCCCCCCAGCACCCCAAUCUCCACCCCCAAAAAAACAAAAAAAUCAUUACUUACGGGGUUCCGUGUGGUCUACCACCUGGUUUGCUGCCAUGUGACUGAGUCCAUCAGGUUGGGAAAAGAGGACAAGCUCAUUCCUCCCAAGCUGCUUUGUUUAGUCACAUGGGAUAAAUCUGGAAGCACAGAGCACAGAGCUCCAAUAAGUGCUGACUGUCAUGCCCUGCUCACAGGACUCAGAGAGUGAAGGGGGAAAGCAGGUGGAAGUGCCAGCUGCUAAGAGGUGCAGUUUCCAGGAGCCAUCCAACAUGGAGUAGGAAGUUCCAGCUUCUGAACCUGAGAAUAGAAGUUUCCAGCAACCUCAAGAGGAAAGCACAGAGAUAUCUACCUGGAAUGCCAGAAAGAAAGGGAAAGCCUCAGAAGGUCCCAAAUGCUCACAAAUGCUCAACAUUUAAGGAACAGCUGAGAGAAGACCCUGAGCUAUAAUUCUAGCAGCCGUAACUCUGACUUUUGUUGCUGACAACUGAUUGGUAAUAUUUUGCUUUGUAUCUCUGGCUCCUGUAUUCCAUGUGAUUUGACCUUGGCUUCGAGGUCUUGGAUUGCCCAGAUUUCAUGAUUUAUCAUCUUGUAUGGCCCUCGGAUUGACUAUGUUAAAGCUACAUUCUGUUCUGCUGAUAACUUCUGUCUUGGAUUUUCAGGGAAAGUGAAAAAACAGAUUUCUGAUACUGGAUAUUGUUAGGAGGAACCUUGAGCUGCAGAAAUUCUCUCUCUUUUUUGGGAGGGGGGAUUGGGGCAUCGGGGGUCAGGGAGACGGCCAGGCUGCCUGGGCAUGGGGACCACGCAAUAACUUUGGGGACACAAUCCUGAAUACUGCAUAGGGAUCUGGAAUGGCUCUCCCCACUGCCCCAACAUGAGGAAAUUCCAAAUCCUGGAACAGGAUUCAGACUUUCCUACAUGUGCGUAUUUUUUAAACUCAAGGUGCAGCCACAUUAAGCAGGGUUAUUCACCUACCCUGUUUUCCCCAAAAUACGACAUUCACUGAAAAUAAGACCUAGUAGAGGUUUUGCUGAAUUGCUAAAUAUAAGGCCUCCCCCAAAAGUAAGACCUAGCAAAGUUUUUGUUUGGAAGCAUGCCCAUCAAACAGAACAACAGAGCAUGCAGAAUUGGUAAAUGCACAUACCAUAGAUUGUUGUACAUUGAAAUAAUGGUAGUAUCAAGAAAUUCUUAACAGGAUUCACAAUUUGUCUGGUUAUGGCAACUACUACUGUACAGUAUAUAAUAAAUGUUCUUUUUUUUUUGUUCAACG